rnacentral:rRNA from 1 species
CAUUACAGUAUGUUCAGGGGGACCGCUGCUGGCCUCUAAUUGAGGCAUGUGCGCGUCCCUCGCCUUCUAUUCCACAUACACCUGUGCACUUUGGCGAGCGCCUCCCGUCUGGAGCCGUCCCUUGUAACCUCUUCGGAGGGGUAGGGGCCGGGGCGCUCCCUCUUUAUUACAUUACAGCCUGUCUUAACGCAUGUCUAAGCUCUACGGAGCGAAACGAAAUACAACUUUCAACAACGGAUCUCUUGGCUUUCGCAUCGAUGAAGAACGCCGCGAAAGUGCGAAACGUAAUGUGAAUUGCAGAAUUCAGUGAAUCAUCGAAUCUUUGAACGCAUCUUGCGCUCCUUGGUAUUCCGAGGAGCAUGCCUGUUUGAGUGUCGUGAACUCUCUCAACCUUUCUCUUCCUCUUCGGAGGAAGGGCUUAGGGUUGGAUUUGGACGUCUGCCGCGAGGUCUCUCGCGGCUCGUCUUGAAAUGCAUUAGCUGGUCCGCCUCGGUUCGACAACGGUGUGAUAAGAAACGCUUCGUGACUGUGGCGCCGUUGUAAGCCGACCUUAGGAGGAUCGCUUCUAAUCGUCUUCGGACAGCACCCUACGUCAUCUGACCUCAAAUCAGGUAGGACUACCC